AACGAACGCUGGCGGCAGGCUUAACACAUGCAAGUCGAGCGCCCCGCAAGGGGAGCGGCAGACGGGUGAGUAACGCGUGGGAAUCUACCCAUCUCUACGGAAUAACGCAUGGAAACGUGUGCUAAUACCGUAUACGUCCUUCGGGAGAAAGAUUUAUCGGAGAUGGAUGAGCCCGCGUUGGAUUAGCUAGUUGGUGGGGUAAAGGCCUACCAAGGCGACGAUCCAUAGCUGGUCUGAGAGGUGGAUCAGCCACACUGGGACUGAGACACGGCCCAGACUCCUACGGGAGGCAGCAGUGGGGAAUAUUGGACAAUGGGCGCAAGCCUGAUCCAGUCAUGCCGCGUGAGUGAUGAAGGCCCUAGGGUUGUAAAGCUCUUUCACCGGUGAAGAUAAUGACGGUAACCGGAGAAGAAGCCCCGGCUAACUUCGUGCCAGCCGCCGCAGUAACAC
rnacentral:rRNA from 1 species